UACGUAAGUGGCGAGCGUUAUCCGGAAUUACUGGGCGUAAAGCGUGCGUAGGCGGUUUAGUGUGUGGGAUUUGAAAGCCCGGGGCUCAACUCCGGAUCCGGAUCCCAAACUGCUAGACUCGAGAGUAUCAGAGGAGAGCGGAAUUCCCGGUGUAGCGGCCAAUAUGCGUAGAUAUCGGGAGGAACACCAGUGGCGAAGGCGGCUCUCUGGGGGUAUUUCUGACGCUGAGGCACGAAAGCCAGGGGAGCGAACGGG
rnacentral:rRNA from 1 species